GCAUAUUCAUAGCGGAGGAAAAGAAACCAACAGGGAUUGCCCUAGUAACGGCGAGUGAAGCGGCAACAGCUCAAAUUUGAAAUCUGGCCCUUUCAGGGUCCGAGUUGUAAUUUGUAGAGGGUGCUUUGGCGUUGGCUGUGGUCUAAGUUCCUUGGAACAGGACGUCGCAGAGGGUGAGAAUCCCGUAUGUGGCCGCCAGUCUUCGCCGUGUAAAGCCCCUUCGACGAGUCGAGUUGUUUGGGAAUGCAGCUCUAAAUGGGAGGUAAAUUUCUUCUAAAGCUAAAUAUUGGCCAGAGACCGAUAGCGCACAAGUAGAGUGAUCGAAAGAUGAAAAGCACUUUGGAAAGAGAGUCAAAAAGCACGUGAAAUUGUUGAAAGGGAAGCGCUUGCAGCCAGACUUGCCUGUAGUUGCUCAUCCGGGCUUCCGCCCGGUGCACUCUUCUGCGGGCAGGCCAGCAUCAGUCCUGGCGGUCGGAUAAAUGUUCGCCGAAUGUACCUCUCCUCGGGGAGGACUUAUAGCGGCGGGCGGCAUACGACCAGCCGGGAUUGAGGUCCGCGCAUCUGCUAGGAUGCUGGCGUAAUGGCUGUAAGCGGCCCGUCUUGAAACACGGACCAAGGAGUCUAACAUCUAUGCGAGUGUUUGGGUGUCAAGCCCGAGCGCGUAAUGAAAGUGAACGGAGGUGGGAACCCCUCGGGGCGCACCAUCGACCGAUCCUGAUGUCUUCGGAUGGAUUUGAGUAAGAGCAUAGCUGUUGGGACCCGAAAGAUGGUGAACUAUGCCUGAAUAGGGUGAAGCCAGAGGAAACUCUGGUGGAGGCUCGCAGCGGUUCUGACGUGCAAAUCGAUCGUCAAAUUUGGGGCAUAGGGGGCGAAAGACUAAUCGAACUAUCUAGUAGCUGUUCCUGCCGAG
rnacentral:rRNA from 1 species